GAACAAUCGCGACGAGUGUUAUGUUAUGUGGCGCUGCCUAAAAUUUACAUAAAAACCAAUAAAAACCUACUGUCAUGGCACACAUUAAGGACGGGUAGAUAGGAGCUUGUUUGUGCUAAUCUCGCGUCAGGGGACUGGUAAAAAUGUCAAGUCCAGAGACAGUGUGGGAAGAGCUCGCCAGCAUUGAUGCAGAUCCACCGACAAUGCGUGAUAAAUGUACACAAUGCAGACACAUCCCUUGCCUUACUGCACAUAGGAGACCAGUUCCAGUUUGUUGGUGUCCCGGGUUGCCAAAGACUCGUUUAUCUCCAGCCUCUAGACUAAUCAUACUGCAACAUCCUGCGGAGGUGAAACGAUGUCUGAGGACUGCACCUAUGUUGACUUUUGGACUGGAAGUAGGGAAAUGCCUAACCUUCAGGGGGAAGAAAUUUCCACUUUUGAAACAUGAGGGGUUAUCUGAUAUCUUGGCUGACACCAAUACCGUUAUGCUUUACCCAACAAUUGCUUCAACGACUCUCAAUGCGCUUGAUCCUGUUGGACUCAAUGGACAAAAACCUUACAACCUAGUUAUACUUGAUGGCACAUGGCCACAAGCUAAGGCAAUGUAUCACAACAGUCCUAUCUUACACUCUGUACGAUCUUGUAAACUGGUUGGAUUACCAAUCAGUGAAUAUGUAAUACGAACACAGCCAACAGAAGGGUGUUUAUCUACUUUGGAAACUGGUGCCUUAGCACUAUCUAUUUUGGAAGGAAACUCACAAAUAAGGAAUGAAUUAUUGGGUCCACUUCAUUAUCUAUGCAGAUUUCAACUUCAGAAUGGUGCCGUGACACAUCAAAGUAAAGAGUGGAGAAUAAAGCAACAUACAUAUCCCAAGUUGAUUGGAAAAAGGCUAGCUAAACAACUUCGUGUUCUGCCUGAAGAUUAGCUAGGUUUUGAUUUUCAAUGGAAAAUCUAAAAAAAUUAUAAUUGGUGGAUUAUUACGAAAGAAGGAUAUUAAACUCUCUGUUAUUCAAGGAUACGUUUUACGUGGAAGGUAUACACCUUGCCGUGUAUACGGGUCCCAGGAUAUAUCAGAACCCGGAUUUGUGUCGUGUAUGGGACCCGUCGUCACUUCCGUCGUAGAAUCGAGAAUCCAGUCAACCCAUAAUGCAAUGCCGUUGCAGUGGCCUUGCCUAAAUUGCCAUUUAUAAAACAGAACAGAUUUAUUCAAUAGCUUACGUACGUAUAA